rnacentral:lncRNA from 1 species
GGGCCACAUCUCCGGCACAUGAAAAUUCCCAGGCUAGGGGUUGAAUGGGAGCCACAGCGAUGCCAGAUCCUUAAGCCACUGAGCAGGGCCAGGGAUCAAACCUGCAUCCUCCUGGAUACUAGUCUGGUUCAUUACCACUGAGCCACAACAGGAACUUCACUAAUUACUUAGUUUUGAUCAUUGUACCAUGACUACAGAAGAAGUUAAUAUAAGACAAAGCUGAGGGGAGGAUAUGUUGGAACUCUGUGUAUUAUUUUUGUAACUCUUCUAUUAAUGUAAAACUAUCUCAAAAAGAUUAAUCAUGAUGGCAGAGUUAGAGGACAUGGCCCCCACCUCCCAUGGUUCAAUAUUUGUAAAUCAAACAAUGUGAUAAAUCACACUAAGAAAAGGAAGGAUAGAAAUCACAUGAUAAUCUCAAUAGACACAGAAGAGGCAUUUGACAAAAUUUAACAUCCUUUCAUGAUAAAAAAACUCUCAUCAAAAUGGGUGUGAGGAAACAUAUCUCAACAUAAUAAAAGCCAUUUAUGAUAAAUCCACAGUUAGCAUUAUAAUCAAUGAUAAAAAGAGAAAAGAUAAUCUAUGGAAGGGGAGAAAACAUUUGCAAAUUAUAUGAGAGACAGGAUUAAUAUUCAAAAUGUAUAAAUAACUCAAGCAACUCAACAUAAAAAAAAAAGAAACCCCAAGUGGGCAUAGACAUUUUUCCUAGGAAGAUAUACAGAUAGCUGACAGGCACAUGAAAACAUGCUCUACAUCACUAAUUAUUAGUGAAGUUCAAAUCAAAACCACAAUGAGAUAUCACCUCACAUCUAUCAGAAUGGCUAUCAUCAAAGACACUACAAAUAACAAAUGCUGGUGAAGAUGUGGAGAAAAGGGAACCCUGCUGCACUGUUGGUGGGAAUGUAAAUUGGUGCAAGCACUAUGGAGAACAGUAUAGAGUUUCCUAAAAAAUCUAAAAGCAGAACUAUCACAUGAUUCAGCAGUUCCACUCCUGAGUAUAUACCUGGGGAAAAAAAAAGCACACUUCUAAAGGAUACAUGAACUCCAAUGUCCAUGGCAACACCAUUUACAAUACCCAAGAUAUCAAAGUAACACAACUGUCUAUCAACAGAUAAAUGGAUAAAGAAGAUUGAUAUAUAUAUAUAUAUAUAUUAAAAUAUAUAUUAGAAUAUUACUCAGCCAUUAAAAGAAUGAAAUUCUGCCAUUUCCCAGCAACGUGGAUGGACCUAGAGAAUAUUAUGCUUAGUGAAAUAAGUCAAAGACAGGCAAAUACUGUAUAAUGUCACUCAUGUGGAAUAUAAAAAAAUACAAACGAAUGUAUAUAGCAAAACAGAAAGACUGACAGAUAUAGAAAAGAAACUACUGAUUACCAGUGGGGAGAGGGAAGAGGGAGGGGCAUGAUAGGGGAUGGGAUUAAAAUAUACAGUCUACUAUAUAUAAAAUAGAUGAGCAAUAAGAUGACUUUAUAGCACAGGGAAUUAUCGUCAUGAUCUUGUAAUAACUUUUAACGUAGUAUAACCUGUAAAAAUAAGCCACUUACUGUAUACUUGAAACUAAUAUAAUAUUUUAAAUCAACUAUACUUCAAGAAAAAUACUAUCCAAAAUAAAAAGUUUUUAUUUAAGAAGAUUGUUAUAAGCAGGAUUCUGGUGCACAAAAAGACUAAUCCAAAUAAACAGAACUUCUUACAAUAUCCUUUAUUAAUGGGCUUUUGUAUGGGGAGCACCUGGUAUGCUACAUAUAAUAAAGAGAAUUGUAUUUUAGUUCUAUUUUAUAGAUAAAGAAACUAAAAUUCAGAGAACUUGUCAAAGUUUACCCAACUGGUGACUUCAUGGAUGUUAAAAGGUCUUUGGGUGGGGGGAUGUGCUUGGGCUGUGGGAUGGAAAUCCUGUGAAAUCAGACUGUUAUGAUCAUUAUACAACUACAGAUGUGAUAAAUUCAUUUGAGUAAUAAAAAAAGUAAAAAAAAGGGGUCUUUUACAGAGUAAAUGUUUUAAUUUUGAUGAAUAUCAAUUUAAUAAUUGUUUCUUCAUAUUCAUCCUUUUAAUAUCAAGUCAAAGAAAUCAUUGCCUAGCCCUAGAUCCUCAAGAUUUUCUCCAAUUUUUUUCUACAAGCUUUAUAAUUUUUUUAUUUUACAUUUAAGUCAGUGAUCUAUUUUGAGUUAUAUUUUGUAUAAAGUGUGAGCCCUAAGUGUAAGUUUGUCGUUUGUUUCUUUGUUUGCAUACUUAUGUCCACUUGCCUUGCGAUAUUUAUUGAAAAAGCUGUCUUCCCUCUGUGGAGUUGCUUUUAAAUCUUUGUCAAAAAAUUGUGUGGAUCUAUUUCUGAGUUUUCUCUUUUGUUCCCUUGAUCUUUCUUUCUCACAAUGCCAGUCUUUAUUGCUACAGUAUAAAAUAAAAAAUUUCGGAGUUCCCGUCGUGGCGCAGUGGUUAACGAAUCCGACUAGGAACCAUGAGGUUGCGGGUUCGGUCCCUGCCCUUGCUCAGUGGGUUAACGAUCCGGCGUUGCCGUGAGCUGCGGUGUAGGUGUAGACGCGGCUCGAUCCCGUGUUGCUGUGGCUCUGACGUAGGCCGGUGGCUAAGCUCCGAUUAGACCCCUAGCCUGGGAACCUCCAUAUGCCGCGGGAGCGGCCCAAGAAAUGGCAGAAAGACAAAAAAAAAAAAAAAAAAAAAAAAAAAG